GAGGAUGUGACAGCAACCAAGGGAAACGAUUUCGAAGACUAUUUUCUAAAGCGUGAACUGCUUAUGGGAAUUUACGAAAAGGGAUUUGAGAGGCCAUCACCAAUCCAGGAGGAGAGUAUUCCAAUUGUUCUAACAGGAAGUGAUAUUUUGGCGAGGGCUAAGAAUGGAACUGGGAAGACUGCUGCCUUCUGCAUCCCUGCAUUAGAAAAAAUUGAUCAGGACAACAAUGUCAUUCAAGUUAUUAUCCUUGUCCCGACUAGGGAAUUGGCUCUUCAAACAUCUCAAGUUUGCAAAGAACUUGGGAAGCACUUAAAAAUUCAAGUCAUGGUUUCCACUGGGGGGACCAGCUUAAAAGACGACAUAAUGAGACUGUAUCAGCCAGUUCAUUUACUUGUUGGUACUCCUGGAAGAAUUCUUGACCUUGCAAAAAAGGGUGUGUGUGUUUUGAAAGAUUGCUCCAUGUUUA
rnacentral:misc_RNA from 1 species